GUCAGUGGCUGCUGCGGCGGGGAUGGGGGGCGUGUGGGGCUGCACUCCCUCACCGCCUCCACUCCCGCACCUUCUCCCCAAGGACCAAGCACUGGUCUAGCAGCUCGGCAUCGCCCCCUCCCAAGAAAAAGAAGGAAAAGAAAGGCGGCCACCGGAGAAGCUGAGCCAGACUCACUGACCGGGCCCAUGUGUUACCAGCACCUGCUCCUAAGGAAGGAGACCACUACUACUCCUGCUGCCCUCCUCCCCCUACCUUGCCUAGUUCACAAGACAGGAGUAAAGGGAAUGAAACAAAAGUAAGAUAAAUAGCCAGACAACCUUGGCACCACCACCCGGCCCUAGGAGUUAAACAAAGUAAUAAUAAUAACAUCAGCCCCUGGCCUAAACUACUUGUGUUAUCUGUAGAUUCCAGACACUGUAUGAAGAAAGCAUUGUAAAACUUUGUUAACUGAUGCAUGUAGCCCCCAGUCACGUAUCCCACGCUUGCUCGAUUUAUCACGACCCUUUCAUGUGGACCCCUUAAAGUUGUAAGCCUUUAAAAAGGCCAAGUAUUUCUUUCUUGGGGAGCUCCGCUCUUAAGAUGCGAGUCUGCGGACGCUCCCAGCCAAAUAAAAAACCUCUUCCUUCUUUAAUCCGGUGUCUGAGGAGUUUUGUCUGCAGCUCGUCCUGCUACAGUCCCAGUCCGCCUCUGCCCUCCCCCAGGGGUCCUGUGCCCACCAACAGCAGUGGGAAUGGCCCUGGGGAGGAGGGGCCUCAUCUGCCAUCCCUGAAUCUCUCUGUCCACCCUCCUCUGUCCUGCAUGAGACCCUAGCAAGUGUCUGGGGCCCCAGCUAACCCCAUCCAUCCGUCUGUCCUUUCUUCCUGGCAUCUGCCCUCAGGAAAAAGAGGAGACUGGAGUCCGAUGGCAGCUGUGGGAGCUCCUCUCCCCUCUGCAAGAAGAGUGUGAAGAAGCAUCACUGAGACAGGUACCCUUGUUGUCCCCACCCUGGGACCUCAUCUUCCUCCCGUGGGGCCCAGGGUCAGGGCUGUGGCCCUCCAUAGGUCUCCCCUGGGCCACCCCAGACAAGCUCAAGAGAACUCCUUUAUCGCGCUACAGGUCUGAUUCUGGGUCCUGGAGGAAAAGACAGCACAGGGUGGAAUCCACUAUUGAGGUACAUGAAAGUGUCUGGUCUCCACACUUCCUCCUUGGCCUCAUGGCAGCAAUAGCAGUGGCAGUAGUGACUGUGGCAGGAGCCCCAGGGUGGACCAUUGGCCUUUGGGGCCAGGCUCUCAGAAGAAUGCUGGACCACAGCCAAAAUGCUCAGUGGUUCUCCUUUCUAACAAUCGCAGGACCAGGGCCAUCCUGCUUCAACAGGUGACAUGAUAAUUAUGGGCGUGAGGGAGAUAAACUGACAGCAUCCCUUCGUUAUAAUCAUGGCUCAGGGACCACAAUUCACACAGAGACUCACUCCAAGACUCAGCCAGGUGAGUGUCUGUUUCUCAGCUUCAUUAACAGUGAGUGAUCAAGACUCAGGUGGGACAAUGUCUGUAACUCUCUCAUGGUUUGUUCUUAUAUCUCACGGAAUUACAACUAGUCAGCAGGU
rnacentral:lncRNA from 1 species